UCCUGGUUAACCCAGGCAGUCUCACUAGAGUUCCCACCAUUACGUGUUGGCAACUAGUGAUAAGGGUUGCGCUCGUUGCGGGACUUAACCCAACACCUCACGGCACGAGCUGACGACAGCCAUGCAGCACCUGUAUAGCAGUCCCGAAGGAAGGGUACAUCUCUGUACCUGUCUACUAUAUGUCAAGACUGGGUAAGGUUCUUCGCGUUGCAUCGAAUUAAACCACAUGCUCCACUGCUUGUGCGGGUCCCCGUCAAUUCUUUUGAGUUUCACCCUUGCGAGCGUACUCCCCAGGCGGUAUACUUAUCGCGUUAGCUACGGCACAGCCAGGGUUGAUUCCAGCUACACCAAGUAUACAUAGUUUACGGUAAGGACUAC
rnacentral:misc_RNA from 1 species